GGGCUCAGAAACAGAGAGGGGGAGGGGCUUAAGCAAGAACACAGAGUUAGUUAGGGGCGAUGGCAGCAUUGGCAUCAGAAUCCCGGUCUUCAAGGCCAGACACUUCCUUCUCUCUCUUCCACUGGCCUCACAAAACGUCACUUACACGGCCUGAAGAUUCUUUGUCUGACGGAUGAGUCUGUUUUGUGGAUCUGCCAGACAGGAAGUGCUAACGAGUGCCAGACACACAGAGUCACAUCUCUUCACUGCUCCAAAUCGGCUCUGGUGAGGUUUGGUGACAAGAUAGCUCAGGACUCUGACUUUAAAAAAAAAAGCCUCAACACAAAAUGAAAGAAAGCCAGUAGUCUGAAAAAAGUAGAAUGAAACAAACAGACAAACAAAAUAACCUUUGAGAACAGAGUAGGCCUCACUGCCUUCUCCUUUGUGGACUUGAAAGUGGAACAGGAAGCUGAGAUCCAGGAUUCCACUGAUGGGGGACACCACAGAAAUCUACAACCUGUGAGAAUGCAGAGAAUGAGUGACCAUGGAAUGCCAGGUUCAACAGAUGCAUCUGCAACCUACCUUAUACCCAAGACUCAGGGAUCAUCACGGAAGAGGAAGUGGAAAGAUUAAAACCAACCAAGCAACCAACCAACCAAGCAACCACUUCUGAUGCCCUUGAUGCAGGUGCAGUUGUUUAAACAGUGACUGUGGUCAAAGGCUUUGGGUUCAAGUUCAAGAAUAGAAACAUCUCCCAUUGCAUCUGCCUGAGAUUCAGGCCUGCAAGGUCAUUAUCUUAAAACUUGCUUCCAGUUAGAGAGAUCAUAUUGGGUCCUCCUUGUGGUUGGGUAAGUGCUCCUGAGGAAGAUUGUUUAUUUUGUAUGAAAAGAGGAGGGGAUAUUGUAUUUUCCACAGCACUCUGCAUUUGCUUUUAUCAUGGAACAAUAGUGGGAAGAGAUGGUUAGAUUAAGUGAGGUCAGUCAUUUAGAUAUGGGAGGUCUUGUUCUAAGGGUCUCCUGAACUGACCAUUAGGCAGUGGUGGGGCAUAGGGUGAGGGGUGGUAGGUGUCCCUGAAAGUCUACUAAAGUGUCACCUACAAGUGCAGAGAAGUCUACAUAUUGAAUGACAGAUGCCCAAAUGAAAGUGCAAGUUUGGAAACGCCAGGCUUCUACAAAGUCAAAUCACAGUAACAGAAGCUUGCAAAUGCCUUUUCUGAAAUGUUUGGAGGAUAUCAGCAUCAGCAUAUCUAUAUAUACAUAUCUAUAUCUGUAUCUAUCUAUUAUAUAUCUAUUAUAUAUAUAUCGCUAUAUCAUCAUUAUCUAACUAUCUACCUAUCAAUCAUCAUCAUUAUCAUCACCACUAUUAUUGUUAUCUAUGCAUAACUCCAUUCUAUUUCUUCAUUUUUAACAGAAAAAAUAAGUGACAGUAGUUAAAACUAUGUUAUUUAUUAAGAAUUGAAGCUAACUGAUUUUUCUUUACCUUACUUAGGAAAUGGAAACUGACAGCUUCUUUUGGCUUUUUCUUCCUGCAUAAGGUGAAAAAAAAAACUGCAGGAGAAGCAGAGAGUAUGACAGAAACACAUUUAAAGAGACAUCUUUUCCAGGCCCAUACUCAAACCACUAACAAAUUGGUAAAUGCAUUUGAAAUGUCACUCUAAGCUGACACAGGUAAUGGUGGUCUGGCAUUGACGAAAGACCAUGGACUUGGGGAUUAGAUAUAUCUGUGUUUAGAUCUCUAAUAUGCCCAUUAGAUUAGUGUAACAGGAUAAGAACACAAUCCCCCUUCAGUGUUGCCUUUGGCUAGGGUCUCAAGACUAACUUCUAAUAGUAAGGGGAGACUAGGUCUACCAUGCAGGACAUUUAAAUGGAGUGCUCACAGUCAAUUUGGGGUCCUCAUUCUCCGACCACUGAAAUAAUGAAAGGAGUGAAUAGAAUCAGAGAAGGUUUUGUAUGGCAGGUUGGAAGACUUUUCUUUCCUCUCAAGUCUAGAAGAAGGUCUUUAAUGGAGCUACAAGUGAGCUUGACACAUGCCCCAGUAGACAAAAGUCUGAGUCAUAUCUAAAGAGUAGGAAGGAAGAAAGCUAGGACUACUUUCACUUUUGUCGGGAAGCUUGGGAAGAUGUCACAACAAAGGAAGGACUCUCACAACCGAGGUAAGAGACAAAUUUCUUUUUGAUGAAUAGUUGUGUGUGAGGAAACUGAUGUAAAGUUAUCUAAACUCUAGCUGUGAUGGUUCAAACGAAAAUGGUCCUCAUAGACUCAUAUAUGAAUACUUAGCCCCAAGUUGGAGGCACUGUUUGGGGAGGAUUAAGAAGUAUAGCUUUGACUAGCCCCCAGUCCUCUGGGGUACCCUAAGGUCCCCUGAGCCACCUGCUAUCCCUGGCAGAUCUCCAUUGUCAUGUCAACUCUCAGCCCACCAUCAUUAGUCCUGCUGAUUCUGAACUAUACAGCCCAAGGAUACCCAAAAAAGGCCAGCCACACCAGGAUCAUGAGGUUAGGGCCCUCCUAAUACCUACUACAACAGGAACAUCCAGGGACUAAAGCCAUCUGAUGGCUAAAGGUCCUUGAAAGAACAUAAUCAACAAAAUUCAGGGCAUUAUAGUACCCUCAGAGUACAGCUAUCCCACUACAUCAAGCCCUGGUUAUCUUAACACAACUGAAGCACAAGAAAAUGACCUUAAAUCCAACUUAUAAAGAUGAUAGAGAGCUUUAAAAAGGAUUUGAUGAAUAAUUCCCUUAAAGAAAUAUGAUCAAACAGGUAGAGACCUUUAAAGAGGAAACAAAUUCCUUAAAGAAAUAUAAGAAAAUACAUUCAAACAGAUGAAGGAAAUAAAUAAAACUGUCCAAGACCUGAUAAAAGAAUUAGAAGGAGUAAAGUAAAUGUAACCUGGGGGGAUCCUAGAGAUGGAAAACCUAGGAAAGAGAACAGGAACAACAGAUGCAAGCAUCACCAACAGAAUACAAGAGAUGAAAGAAUCUGAGAUAUAGAAGAUACAAUAGAAAAAAACCCCUGAUAAACCAAGUCAAAGGAAAUGUUAAAUCUAAAAAGUUCUUGACACAAAACACCCAGGAAAUCUGGGAUACCAUGAGAAGACCUAACCUAAGGAUAAUAGAAAUAGAAGGUGAAGAGACGCAGAUCCAAAGACCAGAAAAUACUUUCAACAAUAUAAUAGAAGAAAACUUUCCCAACCUAAAGAAAGAGAUGCCUAUAAAUAUACAAGAAGCUUAUAGAACACCAAUUAGCCUAGACCAGAAAAGAAAGCCCUCCCACCACAUGAUAAUAAGAACACAAAAUCUACAGAACAAAGAAAGAAUAUUAAAAGCAGCAAGGGAAAAAAGGUGAGGUAAAUAACUUCAGUGAAGAAAUGUUUCCAUCAAAUUGGCCUGUAGGCAAAUCUGUGGGAUAUUUUCUUGAUUAAUGAUUGAAGUGAGAAGGCCUAGCCUAUUGUUGAUGUGGUCACUAUAGGAAGGUGGUUUCAGUUUGUAUAAGAAAGGCAACAUAUCAAGCCAGAGAAAGCAAACCAGCUCCCACCUUGAGCUCUUGGAUUGAAUUUCCUUCAAAAUGGACUGUGAUUGGGAUGUAUAAACCAUAAGUCCUGUCUUCCCUUCAUUGCUUUCUGUCAUGGAGUUCUUUAUAAUAAUAGGAAUAUGGGUAAUCUGAAGCACAUUAAGACUCCUAUACAGUCACACCAGGGGCUGUAUAACAGUAUUGUCCCAGGAUAUUUCUGAAUGAGGCUGGUUGAAUAUUCACGUAUGGGGCAACCAAUGGCUAUGAAGAGUUGAUGAAUAUAAGAUACCAAAGCUAAAGCAGGGCAUUACUGAGGAAUAUUCAAGAAAAGUUAGAGAGGCAAACAGCCAAACAAAUAAUUAGAUAUGUAAAAUUCUACAUCUUUCCAUUUUCUACUUUCAAAACCAACUGCACAUAGGCACUGGAGUCUUUUUCCUUUGUCUCUUAAAAAAUGGGAUAGAUUUCUUUCUAAACAGAUACACAAUCAUAUAAGAUUGUGGUUUAUAUGAUAUAGUUUAUUUGCUAAUUAUAUACAUUAGCAGGAUGCCAUGUCAUGUUUCAACACAUGCACACAUUAUGUAUCACGUUAACAUCAUAAUAAACAUAGCUAUCUCCCCAAACUUGUCUUUUCUUAUGGUAAAAUCUUUCAAAAGCCCCUGGUCUAGGUUUUUAAGAUGAUGUGUGGCACAUAACUGUUCUCCACAGUCACUUGCACUGGCACCAGAACUUUCCAUUCCUACCUAACAGUAGCUUCGUGCCCACUGAUUAGCCUUCACAUACUUCCCUUGACCCGUGGCUCCAGUCUCUGACAGUAGCCAUUCUACUCUCUGCUUAUCUGAGGUUGACUUUUUACCUAUUACACAAGUGACUGAGGUCAUGCAGAGCCUGUCUUUUGUGUCUGGAUUAUUUUUAUUUAAUAUAACUAUCUCCAGUACCAUCCAUGGUGUUACACAUGACGAUAUUUUAUCUUUUUUAAAAAAGUAGAUGAAUUGUGUUCCACUGAGCGCACAUACAACAUUUUUCCUUUAUUUGUUCAUCAGCUGAUGGACACCUAGUGUUAUCCCUUGAUGAAAUGCUCCCUGUAGGCUCAUGUGUUUGAACACUAGGUCCCAAGCCAGUGGUAUUGCUAGGGGAGGUUAUAGGAUCUUUAUGAAGAGGGAGUGGGGAUCACUGGAGAAAGUGAGUCUCCGGAGGUGGGGUGUAUGGGUUAUAACCCUAUUCUAGUUCCUAUGCUGAGUCUUUUCUGCUUUCUAUCAGGCGCCUACAUGUGAGUCACAAACCCAGAAAUCAUGUGUCUGCCUCUAUGCUACUACACCUAGCCUAGCUUGAAUCCAGCAGCAAAAAGAAAUCCUUCCUUAUACCGCUUUCUGCCAUAUGUGCUGUCAUAAUAAGAAAAGAUGAUGACGGGGAAGCUGAAGGAUCAAGGACGAGGCCAGUCAGAUCUGCCCAGCAAAAAGGAAACUUGCAAGCGAAGGUUUCAAACCCACUGAAGACAAGAGGAGUGGACAUGCCUGGAACUACCACCCUGGAUGGUGACAAAGAGGUCCAGCAGAGUCAUCGACCAUGCCAGUUCACAGAACCAGAAGUUCAACUUCCCAGGCAUCAUAAGAAGGAAGCAGGCUGCCCUCAGAAAGGGUAUUAGAAUGUGGCGUCUUGACUGACCCAUAGGUUCAUAUAUUUGAAUGCUUCAUGGAACUGUUUGGGGAAAGAUUAAGAGGUGCGGCCUUGUUGGAGGAGGUGUGUCACAGAGGGCAUGCUCUGAGGUUUCAAAAACACACACCAAGCUCAGUCUUUCUCUGUGCCUCCCUCCAACUUGUGGAUAAGAUGUAAGCUACAGUCGCUGUUCCAGCACCAUGCCAAUCUAUGCUCCCUGCCCUGUUGGCCCUGGGCUUCUGGAACUGUGACCCCCUCACCCCCCAAAUUAAAUGUCUUCUUUUAUAAGUUGUCUUGGUCACGGUGUCUUUUCACAUUAGUAAAAUGUAACCAAGACACAGACGUCUUGGACAGAGGACUGCAAUGUGUGGUUACUCAGGCUAGGGUUUGGCUCUAACUGGCCAUUGGCUGUCUGUCUGGAUGACCUUGGGGACCUGGCCAGCCCCCUGAGAGUUAUGUUAUGGCUACGAUGACAGUGACAAGACCCAGUAGAGCUGCCUCCGUGAGAUCAUGAGCAGGUCAGGCACUUAGUCAACGUGAGAUUCUCCUUAGUCUGUGGGAGGUAGUAAGAAUGAUUUUCCCUAAGCCUUUGAGGUUCCACCUACAUUUAGUCAGGUUUCCCUGGGGUGGGGAGUAUGAGGAACUUAGCAAAUUGUAAUUCAAGGCAUGAUUAUGAUCUUGUUCUCUGCUGCUUUGCCAAGAGUGACACCCGGCACACCGCUCCUCUCAGUGCUAGAAUGAAUGACCCACUUAGGUGUUAUCGUCAGGCCGCUCUGAAUAAACCUGUGCCCUGGGCACCUGCGAGUCACUGUCAUUUGAGUCAUCUCCUCUUUUGGGUUGGUAGUUUUCCACAAAGGCCCGCCACAUCGCAAGUUCACGACCAGCUCUCGGAUCUCACAUCAUGCUAUUCAUGUUAAUAUGCACAUAAAGCCUGAGUUAAAAACCAUGUUUUCCUGUAAAGUAGGAAACAGAGUUUUGUUGGAUCGGUUAGAAAUAACCGGCCACUGGAAACUUACUUAAUUGGCAAUUUUCUAUGAUUUCUUGGCAAUCAUCCUGUUUGCUCAGAAGAUUUUGCAAGGUGAGCAGAAGCCGCAAAUAGAGUUCAGAUGUAAUAAAAUCCUCAGGAAAACGAAGUUGAGCAGUUAGCAAGGUUAAAAUGCUGUUACAUUUUAGCAAUAAGUAUCUAUUAAUUUGUAUUUUUCCAGUUUCUUUUUUUGGUUCUUUUUUUUUCAGAGCUGGGGACCGAACCCAGGGCCUUGCGCUUCCUAGGCAAGUGCUCUACCACUGAGCUAAAUCCCCAACCCCCAGUUUCUUUUUUUAUAUUUGGAAGUCGGUGGCUUUAUAUCCUGGCCUCCGACAUUUUUGAAGUCACCAAAGGACUCAUAUAGAUGGAGACCGAGGAUGGAAGGUUUUAUGGAUGAAAUGCCUUUGAAGGAGUAUGGAUUUAACAUGCCUAUGACUUAACUCUUACCCAGGGUAGGUCUGUUUGCCACCUUGAAGGAGCAAUGACAUCUUAGGACACCUCCUAAUUCUUGCCUCUACUCUCUUCAUCCCUAUUUCUCCUUCUGGUAGCUUCUUUCCUGCCCAUGUCCACUUUGUUUUCAUACUCAGCAUUAAAACCUGUCCUAUUAUAUUAUGUAAAUCAAGGCCAAGUUCCUGGUUAAUAGUGUACCAAUCUCUAUUAUUCGAGUCUUGCAGGGGGAGGCAAAGUCAUUUUGCAUUCCCUGCAAAAGGAGGUCAGCGAAUGUGAGUUGAGGGUAAUAAACAGCAGAUCAACUCUUUGGGUCAACUCUAAGGUGGCUUCCCUUCUCAGGCUGUGCUUGUGAUAGGAGAGGGUCAGCAUCCAGAAGUCACAGGCUCUCUCUUCUCAAACUGCCACUGGCCUCCUGCUGCUCUAGUUUUAGAGAGCAUGUGGCACAAUAAGGUGGAGGAAGACAGAAGACAGGGCUGCCAUUUGAAGACACAUUUACCUAAUUGUCCCAUCAGAUUCUUGCUAUCAGAUGAGGGCUGAGGAUCAUCUACAACCUGGGGCUUGUCAGAAGUUCAGGGAUUCAUGUUCCAUUCAGACUUGGCCAAGGAGUAACUUCACUUUAGCAGCUCCUGGCUGAAUGUAUGGGGAGCUAAAGGAUAAAGGAACCGUGGACUGAGCAUUGACGCCCAGAAUGUCCACUGGUCCAGUUCGUAGCUCUUCAUCUGCUCUCAAAACAGGCACCCCGUCCUAGAGCUGCUACAUAGCUGGGGGUGUUUUAAACAGAAUUUCAUGACA